CUUCAGCUGUGGGGCCACAGAAGGCAGGACUCAGCAUGGCCUCUAGCAUGGCCUGGUCCCCUCUCCUCCUCGCCCUCCUCGCUCACUGCACAGGAUCCUGGGCGCAGUCUGUGCUGACUCAGCCGUCCUCAGCGUCUGGGAACCCAGGACAGACGGUCACCAUCUCCUGCACUGGAAGCAGCUCCAACAUCGGGGAUGGUUACAGUGUGGGCUGGUACCAACAGGUCCCAGGAAGACCCCCUAAAACCGUCAUCUAUGGUACUAACAGCAGACCCUCCGGGGUCCCCGACCGAUUCUCUGGCUCCACGUCUGGCAGCUCAGCCACCCUGACCAUCUCUGGGCUCCAGGCUGAGGACGAGGCCGAUUAUUACUGUCAGUCCUAUGACAAGAGUCUGAGUGGUCCCACAGUGCUGCAGGCCUGCGGGGAAACGUUCCUGAUGUCAGGGGAGGCUGUCCUGGGAACAGAGUCCAUGAUGGCGCAGGAAGGACCAGGGACGCAGACCCAGCAGGGUCCGACUUCACCCUGCGUGGUCCGCGGCCCGUUCCCUGGAGCAGGUCUGGCAGCUCAGGCCCCUUGA